UACGUAGGGUGCGAGCGUUAAUCGGAAUUACUGGGCGUAAAGCGCGCGCAGGCGGUCACCAGCAUCGGUGGUGAAAGCCCCCCGCUCAACGGGGGAGGGUCCAUCGAGAUGGGGUGACUGGAGGCAGGGAGAGGCCAGUGGAAUUCCGCGUGUAGCAGUGAAAUGCGUAGAUAUGCGGAGGAACACCGAUGGCGAAGGCAAUCCCCUGGGCCUGCACUGACGCUCAUGCACGAAAGCGUGGGGAGCAAACAGG
rnacentral:rRNA from 1 species